AACGACGCUGGCGGCGUGCUUAACACAUGCAAGUCGAACGCGAAAGGGACUUCGGUCCUGAGUAAAGUGGCGCACGGGUGAGUAACGCGUAGAUAACCUGUCUUCAUGUCUGGAAUAAUACGCCGAAAGGGGUACUAAUACCGGAUAUUCUUGCUUUUUCAUAAGUUUAUGCAAGCAAAGGUGGCCUCUGCAUAUGCUACUGCAUGAAGAGGGGUCUGCGUACCAUUAGCUAGUAGGUGGGGUAAUGGCCUACCUAGGCGACGAUGGUUAGCGGGUCUGAGAGGAUGAUCCGCCACACUGGCACUGGAACACGGGCCAGACUCCUACGGGAGGCAGCAGUGAGGAAUAUUGCGCAAUGGGGGAAACCCUGACGCAGCGACGCCGCGUGAGUGAAGGAAGGCCUUCGGGUCGUAAAGCUCUGUCAAGAGGAAAGAAGUGUACAAUGGCUAAUACCUGUUGUAUUUGACGGUACCUCUAAAGGAAGCACCGGCUAACUCCGUGCCAGCCGCAGC
rnacentral:rRNA from 1 species